AGUCACAAGGCUUCGGCUCCACCUAUGUCAUUGGCUUCUGAUGGAAAGGAUGGCAGACUGAACCAUAUUUGCUUUCCAAAACCAAGCUUGAAAUUCCCGUUGAACUUGGACUCCCUGGUUUUAAUUCAUAUCUGGAUAGACUGACUUAUGUAUUUUCUUCAUUCCUCUCCCCAGAUAUAUGAUUCUCUUUUUUUUUUUUUUCUGCAAGGAUGGUCUAUUUGUAAGGGUUCCUUAUGUUCUGCCUAAGUUUUCCCUUUGCUUCCAGUCAUUUUAGAACGCUCCUGUUUCUACCUGUUGCUCCCAUUAUGAUGUUUGUACUCUUGCAUACAACUGAAAAGCAUCUUCUGUCAUUCUUACCUUUGGAGUUGUUGUUUGUCCAGAACAACGAAGAAGUAGAUAUUCCAAAACAUUUGCGAGGACAUCAGGGAUCCUCUAUAGGCUGUGAUCUGCUUCUUCUGGAAGAAGCUUCAAGAGACUUCUUCACUGGUACAAGACUAAUUAUUUUGGGACUGGGGGCAAUUCCACAUCUAAUCAGCCUCACUCCGCUUGUACUGUAGGAAAAAGGUUAUUUUUAUUUCAUGGUCCAACAAAUUGAGGCUGUGGGAGGAGCUACUGAAGAUCACUGCAGGCAAUGUGCGACCUAGGAUAGGAACUCAGUACUUUCAGCUUUUAUAUACAACCUGCUGAAUAAUGUUUUCUCUUGCUAAUGAGAAAAUCUGUCUAGGCCAGAAAGGGUAGGAGCAUUUCAUUCCAGAGAGGAAUAUCUGGAUGCUCUGACUUUUGCCUCCUGGAAUAUGUUUUACUACUGACCAACUUUACUGUGUUAUUAAUUUUAGUCAUCUGUCCACAGAAUAAUCAAGAACUGCCUUAGGAAAAUAUUAAGCUGAGCCGUAUACCAGUAAGAGCAAACAAAUUCACUUGGACAGCUGCAAAAAUGAAUUUAACUUACUCUUGCUGUGCCUAGGCAUAGUGUGAUUUCAGAGUUUCCUUUUGAUAUGUCACGAAGUCUCAUCACGUCUCAAAUAAGGUUACUGGAAGAGCAAAAGCAGGACUUUUGAUAUACUACAAACAAGGGACUCCAUGAAUCUUACAUACACAUGUAAAUCUACCUAUGAGCAUUGCUAGAAAAAUGACCAGGUGUUGUAAACCUCUGAAUUCAAUCUGUGCAAAGAUCUCCGUGUCUAUAAUGUGUAAAGGCCAACAAGCACUGUUCUCCAGAGAUCGAAGCAGAUGUGUGUAGAUCUCCUCCCAGCUCUGUGUUUUGAUCAAAUGUCAGGAGUCUGUAAAGCACAGGUGCUACCUCCAUUUUUCCAUACGUGCAGCAAGAUGCAGCCAAUUCAUUGAGGCAGGGAUACAGUUAAUUUUCAUGGUAGCUGAUAUGGUGCUGUGUUUUGGAUUUAGGAUGAAAAUAAUGUUGAUCCAGAUGGCAUUAAGAACAUUAAAACAACCACCAGGUGGAUCAGGCUGCUAGAACUGGAGUGCUUAUACAUUUCUAGAUUUGGAAUGGAUGACCAGAUCAUUGUCCUAUUGUACCCGUACAGACUAUCAGAAGUAACCUACUUGUUCUUUUAAUUGGACUAAAAUUUUCAAAGUGUAUGAAAAAUUGCUUAUCCCACUGAAAACAGACUUAUAUGCUGAGAGCUCGCAGCCCACUCUUCAAUUAUUGCAUGAAUAUGUUUAUUGUGUAUUGUUAUGUCCUGUAUGGAAAGUGUGUCCAUGGGAACAUGUGGUGUGUUAAACACUGUGCCUGCCCCCACUACCUGCUUCAUGAGCAGCCUAAAUGUGGAAGUACACUCUCAUGGCUGAGCUGUGCAGUUUAUUUUCUGUUCUGCCACAGCAUGGGCUAAGCAGGAAAAUUUGCAUCUGGUUGAGGUGGCCCAGAGUAAAACCUGACCAAGAGACUUCAGUUCUGAGUUUCAGUUGUGCGUUGCAGGGAAACUCAUUUGUUUGUCUUAACCUUUGAAAAGUGAGUGUGACUGAAUUUGGGUUGAAAAAUCCCAUUGGGUUGAGGAAUAAAUGGUUUUAUAACAGGAAAUGUUGAAAUAGAAAGUUGAAAUUUUCUUCACGUUCUUUUAUUUUUUUCCCUUUCUGCCAGUCACAAAUGACUGUCCCAAAUUCAUUCAAACUUCAACAAUAGCCUAGGUUAUGCCAUGGCAUUGCAUUUUUCUGCAAAUAAGCUCAUCCCAAAUUUGUGGCUUGGUUGUAGAGGUAAGGUUUACUGUGCCCUACAGCAUACCACAGAUUGGAGGGAGGCUGUGGAGAACCUAUAGCAGCAGCAGGGUCAAUAACUGUGUGGCACUGAAACCCUGCAGGCAAAGGAAGAAGCAAGGUCAAACCCUGCUAGCAGUGGGAUAAAACUGCUCGGAAACCCUCAGCUAUGGAUUGCCUUGUUCCCCAGCUGUUUGUAAUGCAAGCUGGAUUUCUAAUUAAUUAGGACAAAGUCAAUGAAUUAGUUGGACUUAGAUCUGUGAAUGAUGAAUACUGACCUAAACUUCCAGAUGUCUGUGCAACAGCUCUCCUUUCUGCAGGUGAUUCUUGCAUUCUCCCGAUUCCAAAGCUUUGCAGAGUUUCAGGUCAUGUUUAUCCUGACAGAGCCCAUGUUGUGAGCAUGGCUAGUCUUUGCUGUGGUUAAUUCCUUCUAGUGCAGCAAAAAUGCAUUGAAUAUUUGAAGUUUCCUUACUUUUGAGAGCAUUUUGCUAGCUCUGAAGAAGAGCUUCUCUGGCUGAGCAGCUGUGUGUGUUCGCCAGCAGGGCAAUAUGCUCACUGAAGAUCCUGAGAUUGACUGACCCAGCAUCUCUCUUCCUCAGGAGGAUCUCAGUGAAAAGACUCUUCAGUGUUGGACAAGCUUUGACUAAGUCUGAAUUUGCUGUAAUGCAUGCAAAAUGAGUCUAAAUUUCCUUUUCAUCACACACACAAUCAUGCCAUCACUUUGGACUUUGUUGUAGCCAUCAUUUCACACAUUGGCAUAACCUAGAAUGUGCUGGAGCAAAGCUGCGCUGGUAACAAAUUGUUUUCCUUCCAGGAUCUUUCAGAAAUGGUUCCUUUUUCUUGCCUCUCUUGGUUAAUUAAAGGGACAUACUGGAUUUCGUAGACUUAGAAAAUGAGUUGCCAUUCAUGCCAUAAUGCCACAGAUUUUUAUUACCCUUGCAGAUUUUAGAAGUACUUUUUUUUAGGGGGGGAGUGGGGGGGGGUUGCAAAGUUAUAGCAAGACUUUUAUAAAUCAGAAGAGGUAGAACAUGUUAUGUAGAAUGACAUCUGAUGGUUUAAUUGAUAUUGAAGCCUGUGGUUAACCUCUUUUCUAGGCCAAAUUGGUCACAAUUAAUGUUACAUGCUCAGCAAAGCCCCUGGGAGACAAAGUAGAAACUGCUAUCUCUUUCUGCACAAAGCUGGUACAGAGCAGCCUCACACUGUGCCUUUCUCACAGUUCCCUUUCACAGUGGAAUUCCUUCUAAAAGGAAGAAAGAUAGUUCAUUCCCAGUGGAUUUGGUACUGUGAACAGAUUUUAUUCAUGAUGAUCUGGACAAAUGAGGCCUUGAACUGUGUGAAAACCACCAUUUCACACAUUGCUCAAUUUAUCACAACUGUUGGACCGUAAAGAAAAUAUUAUAUCAUGUCCCACAUUGAUGUGUGGCCAUGGGGGAAGUUCUUUGAUAUGUCAGAUUUGCCAUCCAGUGCUGGUGUUGGGAAAAAAGCCAGCAUUGCUUCAGUUCUGAUGUCACUUGUACACAGAAAAAUGUGUGUUGAGUUAUGGAAAAAAAAUAAAAAUGGUGUAAGUACUUUACUGGCCUCGUACUGCUCCCCAAAGAGCAACAAAAUGCACCGAAAUACAGCAUUUCAGGACAGCAGUUCAUAACCAAAGGCAAAAACUAUCAAAUAAUUUACCAAGAACACUUCUUUUCAAAGUGCACUCAGCUCCUUUAUGACAACAGGGUGCAGCUUUGGCAAUGACCUCUAGAAAGUAUAUAAUGCAUGGGCACUUCAAAAGCAGCACCAUACAGAGGGUACUGUGGUGGAACACAGACAUUUGGGAAAUGCUCCCAUCACUACACAUGGUGAUAAGGCUCUGAACAAUCCUUCUUUCGUAU
rnacentral:lncRNA from 1 species